UACGGGGGGGGCAAGCGUUGUUCGGAAUUACUGGGCGUAAAGGGCGCGUAGGCGGUUGGAUAAGUCAGCUGUGAAAACCACGAGCUCAACUUGUGGCCUGCAGUUGAAACUGUCUGGCUAGAGUGUGGGAGAGGGAAGUGGAAUUCCUGGUGUAGCGGUGAAAUGCGUAGAUAUCAGGAGGAACAUCAGUGGCGAAAGCGACUUCCUGGACCAGAACUGACGAUCAGGCACGAAAGCGUGGGGAGCAAACAGG
rnacentral:rRNA from 1 species